CACGUAGGGUGCGAGCGUUGUUCGGAUUUACUGGGCGUAAAGGGCGCGUAGGCGGUCAGCACAGGUCAGUUGUGAAAUCUCCGGGCUUAACUCGGAAAGGUCAACUGAUACUGUGCGACUAGAGUGCAGAAGGGGCAACUGGAAUUCUCGGUGUAGCGGUGAAAUGCGUAGAUAUCGAGAGGAACACCUGCGGCGAAGGCGGGUUGCUGGGCUGACACUGACGCUGAUGCGCGAAAGCCAGGGGAGCGAACGGG
rnacentral:rRNA from 1 species